GUGGGGAAUAUUGGACAAUGGGCGAAAGCCUGAUCCAGCCAUGCCGCGUGUGUGAAGAAGGUCUUCGGAUUGUAAAGCACUUUAAGUUGGGAGGAAGGGCAGUAAGUUAAUACCUUGCUGUUUUGACGUUACCGACAGAAUAAGCACCGGCUAACUUCGUGCCAGCAGCCGCGGUAAUACGAAGGGUGCAAGCGUUAUUCGGAAUUACUGGGCGUAAAGCGCGCGUAGGUGGGUUUGUAAGUUGGAGGUGAAAUCCCCGGGCUCAACCUGGGAACUGCCUCCAAAACUGCAUGACUAGAGUACGGUAGAGGGUAGUGGAAUUUCCUGUGUAGCGGUGAAAUGCGUAGAUAUAGGAAGGAACACCAGUGGCGAAGGCGACUACCUGGACUGAUACUGACACUGAGGUGCGAAAGCGUGGGGAGCAAACAGGAUUAGAUACCCCAGUAGUCC
rnacentral:rRNA from 1 species